rnacentral:snRNA from 1 species
GGAUGUCAGGGCAAUCUGACUGGGACAUCUGUUACCCCACUGAUCGCCAGAGUUGAUUCAGCUGAUCUGGCUGACGAGGCAGGUGUCGCCUUCCUCCCUCACUGCUCCAUGUGCAUCCCUCCCGAAGCUGCAAACUUGGUUGAAGAGGGCGACCUUCCCCGCUAGAGGAGGACCAUUCUUUGGUCAGGGGUGUAUGAGUAGCUGCACUCCCCUGCUAGGACUUCCAAACAAGCUCUCAAGGAAGGGUGAAUUAAAGGGUAAAAAGACACACAGUAGUACAAGAUGU